rnacentral:lncRNA from 1 species
AUGUUAAAAUCUACAGAUAAAGACGAAGGGAAGAGAAUGGCAGGUUUUUUGAAGCAGCAGAUUCUCAAGACUGAAUCACUGGAGGUGAAUACCAGGAAAGCUGCAGGAAGCCUGGUGGGCUUGGGGUGGGCAGCAAAGCACUCUAUACACAACAGUGGACUGCCCUGCGCCCACCUACGCACCAUCAGGGUGGGCAUCUGUUUAUGCACCCCUGAGCAAGUUCACUGGGACAAAACUCUGAAUUUCUUGGAGAAACUACUUUCCCCCAGAAAAGGAGACAUCUGUGGGACAUACAUCACACAGGAGCCCUGUCUGGGGCUGUCCUGCGACAGUGAAGGUAACUGUGUAGUGUGGAUGUGACCAUCAAAGAGCUGAGAGGCUCCUAAUGUCUUCCCAGGGAGCCUCCUGGUGUUCCUCAACUGCUCUCCAGUGUUCUGUGGCUAAACAGAAGAAAGGCAGGGCAUCAGGGUGGCUCAGUGGCAUGACCCUCAGUCCUGGGAUUGAGUCCCACAUGGGGCUUCCCUGCAGGGAGCCUGCUUCUCCUUCUGCCUGUGUCUCUGCCUCUCUCUGUGUCUCUCAUGAAUAAAUAAAACCUUUAAAAAAAAUAAACAGGGAUCCCUGGGUGGCGCAGCGGUUUGGCGCCUGCCUUUGGCCCAGGGCGCGAUCCUGGAGACCCCGGAUCGAAUCCCACGUCGGGCUCCCGGUGCAUGGAGCCUGCUUCUCCCUCUGCCUGUGUCUCUGCCUCUCUCUCUCUCUCUCUCUGUGUGACUAUCAUAAAUAAAUAAAAUUUAAAAAAAAAAAGAAAAAAAAAUAAACAGAAGAAAGGUGGUCUUUUCUUGAUUCACGGACAAAUUUAAGUUGAGAGAUAGAACUUUCUUCAUUUUAAGCCCCACCCUUCAUAUUUAUUAUUAAUUUGUCACUGACAUAGGGGCACCUGGUGGCUCAGUGGUUGAGCGUCUGCCUUAGGCUCAGGUCGUGACCCGGGGUCCUGGGAUUGAGUCCUGCAUCAGGCUCCCCACAGGGAGCCUGCUUCUCCCUCU